CGCAGCCGCGGUAAUUCCAGCUCCAAUAGCGUAUAUUAAAGUUGUUGCAGUUAAAAAGCUACGUAGUUGAAUUUCGGAAUCAGUACGCUGGUCGUGCCUUAGGUAUGCACUGGUGUCACUGGUUUCUCCCUUCUGACGAACCGUCAUGCCAUUAAUUUAGUGUGGCGGGAAAUCAGGACUGUUACUUUGAAAAAUUAGAGUGUUUAAAGCAGGCUCACGCUUGAAUACAUUAGCAUGGAAUAAUGAAAUAGGACGUUGAUCUUAUUUUGUUGGUUUCUAGGAUUGACGUAAUGAUUAAUAGGGAUAGUUGGGGGCAUUAGUAUUCAAUUGUCAGAGGUGAAAUUCUUGGAUUUAUUGAAGACUAACUACUGCGAAAGCAUUUGCCAAGGAUGUUUUCAUUAAUCAAGUAACGAAAUUAGGGGAUCGAAGACGAUCAGAUACCGUCGUAGUCUUAACCAUAAACCUAUGC
rnacentral:rRNA from 1 species